AUGCAUGUGUAAGCACAGGCCUUUACAUGGUGAAGCUGCGAAUGGCUCAUUAGAUCGGCUAUUAUUUAUUAGAGCAUACUAUCCUACUUGGAUAACUGUGGCAAUUCUAGAGCUAAUACAUGCAACACGGCUCCGACCUCCGGGGAAGAGCGAGUUUAUUAGAUCAAAACCAAUCUGGCCGCAAGGCCAGAGGUUGUUGGUGACUCUGGAUAACUUUGGUCUGAUCGCACGGCCCUCGCGCCGGCGACGCAUCUUUCAAGUGUCCGCCCUAUCAACUGUCGUUGGUAAGGUAUCUGCUUACCAAGGUUGUAACGGGUAACGGGGAAUCAGGGUUCGAUUCCGGAGAGGGAGCAUGAGAAACGGCUACCACA
rnacentral:rRNA from 7 species